CCCUUAGAUGUUCUGGGCCGCACGCGCGCUACACUGAUUCAUGCAACAAGUUUUGUCCUUGGCUGAUAGGCCUGGGUAAUCUUUGAACGUGAAUCGUGAUGGGGAUAGAUGAUUGCAAUUAUUCAUCUUCAACGAGGAAUUCCUAGUAAACGCAAGUCAUCAGCUUGCAUUGAUUACGUCCCUGCCCUUUGUACACACCGCCCGUCGCACCUACCGAUUGAAUGGUCCGGUGAAAUCUUCGGAUCUGAGAGAUGUCUGAUUAAUUUCGGACGCCUUUUGGAAAAGUUGCUUAAACCUUACCAUUUAGAGGAAGGGGAAGUCGUAACA
rnacentral:rRNA from 1 species